GAAUUUUGGACAAUGGGGGCAACCCUGAUCCAGCCAUCCCGCGUGUGCGAUGAAGGCCUUCGGGUUGUAAAGCACUUUUGGCAGGGAAGAAAAGGCUCUGGCUAAUACCUGGAGCUGCUGACGGUACCUGCAGAAUAAGCACCGGCUAACUACGUGCCAGCAGCCGCGGUAAUACGUAGGGUGCAAGUGUGAAUCGGAAUUACUGGGCGUAAAGCGUGCGCAGUCGGUUCGGCAAGAAGGAUGUGAAAACACAGGGCUUAACCUUGGAAGUGCAUUCUUAACUGCCGGGCUAGAGUAUGUCAGAGGGGGGUAGAAUUCCGCGUGUAGCAGUGAAAUGCGUAGGGAGGCGGAGGAAUACCGAUAGCGAAGGCAGCCCCCUGGGAUAAUACUGACGCUCAUGCACGAAAGCGUGGGGAGCAAAC
rnacentral:rRNA from 1 species